AAUUGACCUCGGAUCAGGUAGGGAUACCCGCUGAACUUAAGCAUAUCAAUAAGCGGAGGAAAAGAAACCAACAGGGAUUGCCUCAGUAACGGCGAGUGAAGC
rnacentral:rRNA from 1 species